GUGUUCACUUCAGCACCACAUAUACUAAAAGUGGAUCAAUAGAGAGAAGAUUUGCACUGCCCUGGUGCAAGGAUGGCAAGCAAAUUCAUGAAGUGUUCCAAAAUUUA
rnacentral:snRNA from 1 species